GGGAGACUACCAGGUUAAUAGGCUCUAUGUGUAAUGACAGUAAUGUCUUUAGCAGAGGAGUACUAAUAGAUCAAAG
rnacentral:rRNA from 1 species